rnacentral:lncRNA from 1 species
AGAAGAGGUGGGUACAAAUGCAGGACACUGGAGAUGAACUUGCAAUUAAGAGAACAACAACUUAAAACAAUCUCAUAUACAUAUAGACUCUUACAUCAAAACUUCAGAAUAACUGCAAACCAAAAAUCUACAAUUGAUACACAAACAAGGAAUCUCUGGAGAAGAAAUAUAUCUCAUAGUAAAUAAGUGCAUAAUCCACCAUGAAGGGGGUCAUUUGACAUCAUUCUUGGAAUGCUGAAGUCUUCUUAGAUCUGAUUCUGAUUUCCUCUCCAUCAAAGAACUUAUGAUAAUUAUAAUUAAAUAAUGCCACUGUACAAUUAAAUAAUACAGUUCUACAAUUGUAUUAUUAAUAACCAUUUCUCUCCAUGGUACAAUGUAAAGUCUAUAAUGUCUUGUUUAUCACAUCACCUAGAAUGGUGUAAUGCCUUUAUUGAAGAAUCAAUGAGAUGGAACAAAUUGUGAGGACAUAUUUAUAUAGUUACACUGUUUUUUAACCAACUUAUGCAUGUUAUAUUUUACUUAUUUUCAGAGGGUGUAUUAUUUUUGUUAUGCUUACCAGUUAUGUUAUUCUUUUUACUAUGCUAUAUAAAAUAUUUAAUGGAAUAUUCAGCAGUGUGCCUUUCUCUGGAGGUGGCCAUUUUGGGAAAAUCUGGCCCCACCCGUCAGUCCUGCUGAGAAGCCCCAGGGCAAACAACAAUCCAGGUGGGAUCACAGCCCUGCCCCUCAGUAAACAGGCUACCUAAAGACCCCUCAGGCACACAGCUGCCUCUAAUCCCAUCCAGAGACUAAGCCCCACCCACCAGAAGGAUUAGAAUCGGCUCCACCUACCAGUGGGCAGGCAUCAGCCCCUCCCAUCAGGAAGCCUAGAGCAAGCCCCCAUACAGACUUGAGCCACAAGGGGGACAGACACCAGAAGUAAGAGAGGCUACAGCUCUAUUAUCUAUAAAAAGGUCACCACACCAAAAACCUAUAAAAAUGAAAAGACAGAGAACUAUAACUCAGAUGAGGGAGAAAGGAAAAACCCCAGAAAAACAGCUAAGCCAUGAGGAGAUUCUCAGCCUCCAGGAAAAAGACUUUAGACUGUUGAUGCUGAAGAUGAUGCAAGACAUUGGAAAUAAACUGGAGGCAAAGAUGGAUAACUUACAGGAAACACUGAGCAAAGAGAUACAAGAUUUAAAACUUAAACAAGAAGAGAUGCAAAAUACAAUAACUGAAAUAAAAAACUCACUAGAAGCAGCUAACAGCAGAAUACAGGAGGCAGAAGAACGAAUAAGUGAGGUGGAGGACAGAUUAGUGGAAAUUACGGAUGC